GACGAACGCUGGCGGCGUGCUUAACACAUGCAAGUCGUACGGUAAGGCCCUUUCGGGGGUACACGAGUGGCGAACGGGUGAGUAACACGUGAGUAACCUGCCCACAACUUUGGGAUAACGCUAGGAAACUGGUGCUAAUACUGGAUAUGUGCUCCUGCUGCAUGGUGGGGGUUGGAAAGCUCCGGCGGUUGUGGAUGGACUCGCGGCCUAUCAGCUUGUUGGUGGGGUAGUGGCCUACCAAGGCGGCGACGGGUAGCCGGCCUGCGAGGGUGACCGGCCACAUUGGGACUGAGAUACGGCCCAGACUCCUACGGGAGGCAGCAGUGGGGAAUAUUGCACAAUGGGCGCAAGCCUGAUGCAGCAACGCCGCGUGCGGGAUGACGGCCUUCGGGUUGUAAACCGCUUUCAGCAGGGACGAAGCUUUUUGUGACGGUACCUGCAGAAGAAGCACCGGCUAACUACGUG
rnacentral:rRNA from 1 species